GAGGGUCUAGCUCAGCGGUAGAGCACGUGUUUAGCAUGCACGAGGUCCUGGGUUCAGUCCCCGGUAUCUCCA
rnacentral:tRNA from 1 species